rnacentral:tRNA from 2 species
AUUGUUACUUUGGCAGAAUAGUGUGUUUGAUUUAGAAUCAUUUUAAGUAAGAUUUUUACAGGUAAUAU